rnacentral:rRNA from 1 species
UGGGGAAUUUUCCGCAAUGGGCGCAAGACUGACGGAGCAAUACCGCGUGAGGGACGAAGGCUCUUGGGUCGUAAACCUCUUGUGUUAGGGAAGAAUACUGACGGGUCCUAAAGAAUAAGCAUCGGCUACCUCCGUGCCUGCAGCAGCGGUAAGACGGAGGAUGCAAGCGCUAUCCGGACUUAUUGGGCGUAAAGCGUCCGCGGGAGGUUGCACAGGUCGAUGGUCAAAGCGGGAGGCCCAACCUCGUAA